rnacentral:rRNA from 1 species
UACGUAGGGUGCGAGCGUUAAUCGGAAUUACUGGGCGUAAAGCGUGCGCAGGCGGUUCGUUAAGUUCGUUGUGAAAGCCCCGGGCUCAACCUGGGAACUGCACCCGAAACUGCAAAGCUAGAGUCUCGGAGAGGAUCGUGGAAUUCCCGGUGUAGCGGUGAAAUGCGCAGAUAUCGGGAGGAACACCUAUGGCGAAGGCAGCUCGCUGGGACGUUACUGACGCUGAGACGCGAAAGCGUGGGGAGCAAACGGG